UGGGGAAUAUUGCACAAUGGGCGCAAGCCUGAUGCAGCCAUGCCGCGUGUAUGAAGAAGGCCUUCGGGUUGUAAAGUACUUUCAGCGAGGAGGAAGGUGUUGUGGUUAAUAACCACAGCAAUUGACGUUACUCGCAGAAGAAGCACCGGCUAACUCCGUGCCAGCAGCCGCGGUAAUACGGAGGGUGCAAGCGUUAAUCGGAAUUACUGGGCGUAAAGCGCACGCAGGCGGUUUGUUAAGUCAGAUGUGAAAUCCCCGGGCUCAACCUGGGAACUGCAUUUGAAACUGGCAAGCUUGAGUCUCGUAGAGGGGGGUAGAAUUCCAGGUGUAGCGGUGAAAUGCGUAGAGAUCUGGAGGAAUACCGGUGGCGAAGGCGGCCCCCUGGACGAAGACUGACGCUCAGGUGCGAAAGCGUGGGGAGCAAACAGG
rnacentral:rRNA from 1 species